UCUACGGGGGGCAGCAGUGGGGAAUAUUGGACAAUGGGCGAAAGCCUGAUCCAGCCAUGCCGCGUGUGUGAAGAAGGCCUUCGGGUUGUAAAGCACUUUCAGUGGGGAAGAAAGCCUUGGGGCUAAUACCCUCGAGGAAGGACAUCACCCACAGAAGAAGCACCGGCUAACUCCGUGCCAGCAGCCGCGGUAAUACGGAGGGUGCGAGCGUUAAUCGGAAUUACUGGGCGUAAAGCGCGCGUAGGCGGUCUGAUAAGCCGGUUGUGAAAGCCCCGGGCUCAACCUGGGAACGGCAUCCGGAACUGUCAGGCUAGAGUGCAGGAGAGGAAGGUAGAAUUCCCGGUGUAGCGGUGAAAUGCGUAGAGAUCGGGAGGAAUACCAGUGGCGAAGGCGGCCUUCUGGACUGACACUGACGCUGAGGUGCGAAAGCGUGGGUAGCAAACAGGAUUAGAUACCCGGGUAUC
rnacentral:rRNA from 1 species